rnacentral:misc_RNA from 1 species
GAUGAAGAACGUAGCGAAAUGCGAUAAGUAAUGCGAAUUGCAGAAUCCGUGAGUCAUCGAAUCUUUGAACGCACAUUGCGCCCGCCAGUAUUCUGGCGGGCAUGCCUGUUCGAGCGUCAUUUCAACCCUCAAGCCCUCGGGUUUGGUGUUGGGGAUCGGCGAGCCUUUCUGGCAAGCCGGCCCCGAAAUCUAGUGGCGGUCUCGCUGCAGCCUCCAUUGCGUAGUAGUAAAACCCUCGCAACUGGAACGCGGCGCGGCCAAGCCGUUAAACCCCCAACUUCUGAAUGUUGACCUCGGAUCAGGUAGGAAUACCCGCUGAACUUAAGCAUAUCAAUAAGCGGAGGA